UUUUUUUAAAUUUUCGAUUUAUUGCCCGGCUGCUGCUAAAGGGAUUUCCACGCCAGUGCAAGACAUGAUGAGUAGCUAAAAGAAAGCAGAUCAACGUUAAUCUUUUUUUAUUCUUGCACAAGGCACCAGUCCCGAGCAUGCUUGGUUAAUCUGUUAAAGUUGACUAACAGGGAAUCAGUCAUCCACCAUUCAUUCCCGCCAGUAGCAGCUAUCUGCUGCUUUCACUUCGAGUGCUUCAACUCGGAAUAAGACUGGAGUCUGGAGUACAUGUUAAUAAAAUGUGACGAGAAAUAUAAUUAUCAAUCCAAUGUGAAUUCCCUAUUAUUCAAUUUAGUUGACUUUUGAACUUUCAACCGGAUUUAAAACCACACGUUCGAAAUAGAAAUAGUCAUAGAGUUUCUUUUCAGCAAUGGAUAUCUUAUUUUGGAGGCCUACGAAACGGCGAAGAAGAAACUUUUGGGACGACUCUGAGAGUGAUGGUAAAAAAAAUUCUUGUAAUAAGCAAAUAUACCUGUCAGCUAGUGCUACUUCCGGUCUAUUUGUUUACAAUUUUACGUCACGACUUCAUUUAGUCGGCAUAAAUGUCUUAAACGAUAAAAACAUAAAAAGAAUACAUAGGUACACAGUCACAGAUAAGUUACGUUGUUAAAAUAGAAGUAGUUUGUUCAAACAGAUUUUUUUUUAUGAAUGUCAUUAGCUUUCUUAGCUUUAAUAUUUUAAGGAC
rnacentral:lncRNA from 1 species